GAAACCCUAAAUCCCUAAUGCUCUCGACCUUUCCUUAAACAAGCGACACCUCCAACGCUCUAAGGCCCAAGCCAACAACCACCAUCUACCGCUGCAGGGCACCUCCACAAAUGUCCAGGUGUCAGUGUCAUCUCUUCUCACUUCUCAGUUAUUGGCCUUGGUGCGUGACUUUGCUCCAUUCUAGCAGCCGACUGUUCUGCCAUCACAGCCACAGUCUCCAUCAUCAUCUCCUUAGCCGCCAUCACACCACCAUCAUAGGCAAGUGGUAUUGAUUUUUUGACUUCUUAUUUUUCCCUUUCAUGUAAUUUUCGUAGCUUAUUUAAAAAAAUGAUGAAAUUAUUAUGAUUAUCAAGUGUUAUAAUUGUAUAUAUGCUUUAUUUUAUUCUAUUAUCCUUUUUGUUUUUCCUCAAUUCUAUGCUCAUGUGAUUAUUUUUUAUAAUAAUAAACAUAUGUAAAUUGUAUAGGACCUGAAUUUAGGUUGCGGCGAUGUUAUCAAGUUAAUUGUGAAUUGUCAGUUGUUAGAAAUUUUGGGAUUUUCAUAAGUUAUAUCGGUAAUUGAUAUUGUAAUUGAGCUUAUGAUAUGUUGGUUGUUACAGUUAUUUAGAUUUAUUUUGUGAUUAUAAUGCUGUUGAAUUUAAAUUUUUGAUAGAGAUUGAAUAAGUUGAGAAUAGGGAUUGAAUGAAUCUAGAUAGUAGAUUGAAACGGCUUUUAUUUGUUAUUUAUGUAAAAAAAUUUCUACACUAUUAAAUAUUCUUUUAGUGCUCAUGAAAACAGAGCACACUUUCUCAAAGAUCUCAAUACUUUUAUUGCAUGGCUUCCUUCUGAAGUACAGGAAGACAUCUUUGAGAAGAUCAUCUCUCACAGGAGAGAUCCGGAAGAUCAGGCUCUGACAUGGCGGGUAUGGCAGCUCAUGGCCAUGCAAGAACACAGACCUGCCCAUAACAAGAAGUGCCAAAGAGCCUUCGAUCCGCAUCCAAACCCGGACCAGAUGCAUGAAACUAUCUUCAAGGUUGGUUGCACUUUUCACUAUGUGAUAGAUGAGAACUCCAAUUGGGGUCAUUAUGUCAUUUGCGACAUAACCCCUCAAGCUUACUACAUCACAUGGUACUGGCUCAACAUAUACCCUGUGGCAAUACUGUUCGAACCAAACCUGAUCCAUACCAGCCGAAGAUACGGUAAAGGAAGAUGGUUCGAUCGAAUGUUUGCCCCCAUCUUUGAAGAUGUCCUCACACUAAAGCUCAUCAACGGUUAUCACAUCACUCACUCUACAAUAGUGAUCGUGAAAUUCACAGAUAUUUGGGGACGGUACAAAGAGCCUUUCAUACAGGUAGUCCAACAUGACCACUCCCAUGAAGAAAUCGAUUCCAUGUGGACUGGUUGCUGGAACGCUAGGCAGGCCUUAGCAGAGGUAUACGAGACUGUUCUCAUGUACAACACCUACAGUCCAGUAUCCCCACAAGUCUGCAGUACUCCAGACCUUUACUACAGAGAGGAGAUACGAAAUCUCAAACUACAUGGAGACGAAGACGAGGCAGCCGACAUGCAGCAUAAGUAUAAUGACUACUUUUCCCGACAUGGCAGGCCACAAGACAUCACUAAUCGCUUCUUUCCACGUAUUUGUUCUGAAUGCUUGUUGACAUAGAAUGCUGGGCUGGCCCAAUGAGACUUAGAGGGCCUGAUGAGCUUUAGAUCCAUAAGGGCCUGGAUCUCUGAUUUGCACAAUUCUUCGUCAUGGGGCAUGCCUGGAUGAGAGGCUGUCUGGUGAGGCAUGGUUCAUCUAUCUUUAUAUGGUAGAGACACAAAGUGUUGUUCUCUAGCCCAGAACUGGUUUGGUACUUCGGCACAACAUUCAAGGAAUUCCUUAAUUUGGGGUUCAUAUUUAUGGAUUGGGUAGUCUGUUAGUUUUCCACCCUCUCCAAAAAUGGAUUGCUUUUCAACCCAAGGAACUUGAAAAGUAUGCUGAGAACCAUCGACUGGAUUGCGGAUGGUGUAAGAGAAUCCUUCAGGAAAGAAGGCAAAAGGGGCAACCAGACGGAGAAAGUCGGUGCCAAGGAGGAUAUCUUCGCCGGAGUAAUCGAAGGCAAAGAACCCAUGUUGGAUCAUAAAAGGUUGGAUCUCGAUAGGACGAGUAACCUUUUUGCUGUAGAAGUCCCUGCCACUGGCGGAUCCGAAAGAAACCUUAGUAGGAACAUAGAAUUGUCGGGGAACACAGGCUUCUCGGAUAAAUGAGCACAUAGCUCCUGUGUCAAUGAGAGCAGUAAGAGCUACCUGGCUAUCUUCAGAGGGAUUGAGGAUGACUUUGAUGUGUGGUCGGAAGUGGGAAGACCGUUGUAUGGCAGAAGUAACUUGUAGAGGUUCUCGAACAGUGAGAACAAUGUCAUCAUCAUCAUCAUCGGGGGAAUCAUCGUCCGUUGUAGAAGCAGUAUCCUCAGAAUCAGAAAGAGGAUAUUCAUCAAGAGUAUAGACAGCACCAAAGGGGUUAUCGGACCAGGUAUAAAUAUCGUCAUCAAAAUCAUCUUGCUGGAUCAGCUGGAUGAGUUUGGCUGGGAGUUUCUUUUUGGAUUUACAUUGUUUAGCAUAGUGGCCUUUCUUGCCACAGAUGAAACAUCUACCAGAGCCUUUCUUGUGUUUUCGUUUUUUGAUGAAACGGUAUUUUUUCCCUUUGUAUGGUUUCCAGGGGCGUCUGGCUUUCUUUUGUCUGCCAGGAUUACAAGAGCACAUUUUGUCUAUAUGUUGGCAACCAAAUUUGUUUGGUUCCUCAUUACAGAAUUUUUGCAGAGAGGAUUUCUCAAUCUGCUUCAUGUGUCUUCGUAAAUCUUGAGAUCGGCAGUGGCUUUGAAUAAGCUCCAUUGCAAUCUGGUAGAGCUAGGCAAGGCUGAGCUGUGCUAAAUCAGUAAUUGCAUCAGCUUUGAAUUUGGCCUCCAUCAUUUCUGCAACUGGGCCUGGCAUGUUUAGCACAAAUGUCCUGUGUAUGGUAUCAGAUUGUUUGUCAAAGAUGUAGUACAACCUUUCCUGCUCCAGGUAGUACUCUUCCAUUUUCCGAACAUCACAACACUUGUUUUGGAGAAAUUGCUUUUCAGCAACCUCUUCUUCUCUUGUGAACUGGCCUAGAAAAUCCAAGGAUAGAUUUUCAACUAGGCUUCCAUAAGGAUCUUCUCUGCUGAGAAUGAAUUGUCGUUGCUCACCAGUAAGCUUUCAUCCCCACCAUCGUCUUAGCGAUCCAACAAAUCCUGCUACCAGCCGUAAUGCGGCUGAUCUUCUGCUCAACUGGGGGGCUCUUUGACAUUCUCCUUCAUACCAUGCUACCAUUUUCUCAAAAUAAGCCAGCCUUUCUUUAGGCUUCAUUCCAUCAAUGUUCCAGAAUAUCUUUCCGGUUGUGGAAUGUCCGAGUUGUACUUGGGUUUCCCAUUCUUCUCCUUGAUUGACUUUAUCUAUAUGAGGGGCACGAUCAGUAGGUGCAUCAGCCGGAUUGGAGGAGGCUUAUGUAGCUGCUAGUUCUGUGAAUUCAGGGGCAGUGAAUUGUGUUGUCCUUGAUGGGUUUUGAGUUUGCCUUGUAGGAUCAGAGGUUUGGCCAGGUGUUGUUGUUGAAGCUGCAAAUCUGGUACGUGUAUCCACAUAAAAUGGAUUUGUAGGAUUAGCUCUCUGCAUUAGAAUAGGAAUUGGAGGGUUCUCCGUAGAAGAGAUGCUUGAGCUAUCAUCAGUAUCUGUUUUCUCGUCCCACCCAGUAGCCUUCUGAGGCCAUGGGUAUUGAGGAGGAGGAGCAUAGCUUCUCCAAAAUGCUUUCUGGCAAUUCCCAGAUGCAUUUUCCUCCUAGAUGUGCCACGGUUUUGUAGGCUUGCUCUUCCAGUGCCUGGACACCUUUGGUUGUUGAUAACUCUCCCUUGUCCUUCUCAUUUCAUCUUCGUCUGCAGCUCCGGUCAUCACAAUCAUGUUGACUGACCUGGAGGCAUUUUCAUGUAGUUGAGAGAACUAUUGGGUGGUCAUUUUAUGCUGCUUUUUGUUUUUCUUUAGCUAUUUUCUGAUUACAGCUAAGUCAGCAAGAAUCUGUUGUUGAGUGACCAUGAUGUCUCCCAAGGCUUGGUUUUGUUCCACAGCAUUGAUGUUUGACCAGUUGAUUGCCUUCUCAAUUGGGCCGAACUCUGUUGGGUUAGUUUUCUGUAUUACCCAUUUGGCAGCAUACAUUCCUCCGGGGAUAUCUUUAAUGAACUCAUUAUCAAGAUCCGGAGUGGUAAUCAUGUUUACUGGACCCAUGAUUCUGCAAGAGGUAGUUCUUCUUGGCAUAUGUGUGCACAAGGAGGGAUGCUUUCCUUCAAGCUGGCAUUUUUCACAUGGAUAGAGAGCUUUAGUCUUUGUGGGGAAAGAGACUGAUACUCUUCCUUCUUGUAGCCUGCUUAUCUUUGGGACCUCAUGGAUUUGUUGAGGCCAGUUGUUUUUCUCAUACUCAUUAAUCCAUUGUGGUGGAAAAAUGAGUUGGUUUUGCCUAUAAGUCCUGGGUUGAAAGACUCUGCCAUCACCAGCAAGAAAUCUGGUAAUAGGCCUGCCAGAGCUACUCAUAGAGAACAGAUGGGUUUGGACUUUAUAGGUCAUAGUGUGGUGGAUUGCCAAGGCAGAUUCAUCAGGUUUCAUGGUUAGACCAUUGACCUGAAUUAAUACCUUAAUGGCAUCUGUGAGGGACGGCUUGUGUAUGUCAAGGGUAAAAUUUGGCUCAACUUGGAGAACAACAUGGCCUUGGUUGAGUCCUGCUUCAACAGCAGUAAUUAAAGCCUUUUUCAAAAGUUUGCCAUCUGGUGUCUAAAAUGGUAAUGAAACAUGUGAUAUCUUUUCCAGCUAGGAAUAAGGGUUGUAUUCCUGUCUGGAUUUCUCCAAGGUGUAGUCCCUUGUAUCCCUGAAGUUUAUACCUUGUAAUCUCGCUGGAAGAGAUUAUGGGAAGGUAUGUUUCUUUUGAGCUUGAGGAGAUUGACUGGACAGUGAUUUCAGAGGAUUUGUAGAUGGUUUUUAGCUUAGGUUGUCUUAUGGGGAUUAUGGCUCUUAGGUGGUUAAGAGUAGGACUAAUAUGGUAGUAUCUGUAAAGAUCUAACGGAUCAAGUCUGAAGGACUGAACCGCUCUCUCACUGUUUUCAUCCUCUUGGGUUUCAUAAUGGAAGUUUACAGAGGGUGAACUAUCAGUUGGUACUCUGAUGGCCGAAGUAGAUGGUUGGUCAGAAAUUGGUUGGUUACUGGAUCUGUUACUGUUUUGGGUUUCCAUGGCUAAAAGAAAUCAGAGGGUUUUCCUUGGGGUGAUAAGCCCUAAAACACGGCACUUCUUGGCCUUCUCAAGGGGGCGCCACACCUUACAGAAUUUACUCUGUAGUGUUUUAGUAUGGAAAGUUUAGACAGGCAGACUAGUAUCCAACAACUUUCUGAUGUGGAGGAUCCGAAGUAUUUCGGCAACCACAGAGCAUAGUAUUGUUGCACACCCAGGGGUUUCCUUUUGAGAAAUAUGGCUCUGAUACCAAAUAAUUUGUUUUAGAGCAAACAGAGGAAGGUUACUUUCAUUAAAAGGAAUGAGAGAUUUAAAAUACAAUAUUGCACUCCAAGACUCGAUGCCUAUCAACAAACCAAGGGUUCCCUUUUAUAGGCACAAGGGAACCACUAUUACAUACUGUAGACAUUGUUAAACCUUAUCACAAAGGAAUCUACUUUACAACUCACUCUUUUACUUUAUGUCACACUCACACUCUUAUCCUUAUCUCUAAAGAUGGUACAUAAUACAUACGAAUACAAAUACACUAUAUUAUUAUCAAACAGAUUUAAUCUCCCAUUUCGGCAACCACAGAGCAUAGUAUUGUUGCACACCCAGGGGUUUCCUUUUGGGAAAUAUGGCUCUGAUAGACCAAUCACCAUGAUCACAAGAAGAAGCGUCCCGAGACGAUGGGAAGAAGGCAGCUCCAGUGCUCAUGAAAACAGAGCACACUUUCUCAAAGAUCUCAAUACUUUUAUUGCAUGGCUUCCUUCUGAAGUACAAGAAGACAUCUUCGAGAAGAUCAUCUCUCAUAGGAGAGAUCCGAAAGAUCAGGCUCUGACAUGGCGGGUAUGGCAGCUCAUGGCCAUGCAAGAACACAGACCUGCCCAUAACAAGAAGUGCCAAAAAGCCUUCGAUCCGCAUCCAAACCCGGACCAGAUGCAUAAAACUAUCUUCAAGGUUGGUUGCACUUUUCACUAUGUGAUAGAUGAGAACUCCAAUUGGGGUCAUUAUGUCAUUUGCGACAUAACCCCUCAAGCUUACUACAUCACAUGGUACUGGCUCAACAUAUACCCUGUGGCAAUACUGUUCGAACCAAACCUGAUCCAUACCAGCUGAAGAUACGAUAAAGGAAGAUGGUUCGAUCGAAUGUUCGCCCCCAUCUUUGAAGAUGUCCUCACACUAAAGUUCAUCAACGGUUAUCACAUCACCCACUCUACAAUAGUGAUCGUGAAACUCACAGAUAUUUGGGGACGGUACAAAGAGCCUUUCAUACAGGUAGUCCAACAUGACCACUCCCAUGAAGAAAUCGAUUCCAUGUGGACUGGUUGCUGGAACGCUAGGCAGGCCUUAGCAGAGGUAUACGGGACUGUUCCCAUGUACAACACCCAUAGUCCAGUAUCCCCACAAGUCUGCAGUACUCCAGACCUUUACUACAGAGAGGAGAUACGAAAUCUCAAACUACAUGGAGACGAAGACGAGGCAGCCGACAUGCAGCAUAAGUAUAAUGACUACCUUUCCCGACAUGGCAGGCCACAAGACAUCACCUAUCUGGAUACCCCAAAUAUUGACAGAUGGAGGAACGAACUUGAAGAUAUGGCCAACUGGCUAGACCUCCAAGAAUGGCCCCAGCCAGAACUAAACCCACAGCCAGACUCGAUUUGGCCCAAUAUUGGAGAAGACAUGGACGCCGCAUUUGAAGAACGAUGGAACCAUCGGUCAGGACGUAACACGCCAACCAGUGGCAACUCUGGACUGUAGCGGAAGCUUAGUGGACCCUGCAGUGGAAGCAUUGGUGAUAAUAAUAUAGUGUAUUUGUAUUCGUAUGUAUUAUGUACCAUCUUUAGAGAUAAGGAUAAGAGUGUAAGUGUGACAUAAAGUAAAGGAGUGAGUUGUAAAGUAGAUUCCUUUGUGAUAAGGUUUAGUGUGAGUGUGAUAUAAAGUAAAGGAGUGAGUUGUAAAGUAGAUUCCUUUGUGAUAAGGUUCUUAUCCAAGUAGAGAAAGCUUGGACCAAAAAUCGGUGCUCGGGAGGUGCCAGGCUUGACCUAGCGCAUAUGUGGAAAACCGAGCAUGAACUUCAGUCUCGGUAGUUGGAUCAAAACCUAACCCAGACAUAGUGUUUUGCCAAUCCUAGUGAAAAGCCUCACUCUUUAUUUAAUUCAUUUUUCAAAAACAAGUAUGAUUAAAAAAAAGAAAAAAGGUUGUAUAAGGAUGUUAAAAGGGGUGUAAAAAGCAUUACUCUCAAUUUAAAUUGGGCCUACUUUUUAAAUGAGUAGGCCUCUUGACACCUCCCUGGAUUAAUAGUGAUUUGCUUACAACAUUUAGUACAAAAAGGACUUCUUGCAAUAUUCUCUGAAUUAUUGGUGAAAAUUUAAAGUUUUAGAUUCAAAGAUUUUACUCAUAAUCUUUGUUAUAUUGAUAUUGAACAACUGGAUGAUUUCUCCUUCCAUCUCUUAUACAUCUAUUUUUAGAAUAUUUUAAAGUUUUAUCUGUAAUUUUAUAAGGCUCUAAAUGAUUAUCAUGUUCAUAGGUAUUUGUGAAUUCUAAAUUAGCACCUCCAUUUUUAAUUAUUUGUCUCUCUUAAGACAAACUAAAUUUUUUCUUUCAACAUAUUUAUGUAUAUAUCCAGUCUAUUUUCCUAAUUAAGUUACAUUCUAUCAAUGCUUUCACAUAGAUAUUGUAAUCUAAAUUCAACAUUUUGAAUCAAAAAAUUCAUCGUUAUUGUUGUUCGUCAUUUAAUUUAUUAUGGCCAAUCUUUAGUCCUGCUAUUUGUUUUGCAUCUGUCUUGAAUUAUUUCAAGACUAGUUAAUAUGUAUUCCUUUAAUGUUAUCCUAUUCUCUUCUUCAAAUGAAUAAAAUAUUUCUCCAUUAUCCUCUAAGUUUAUCCUUUUCAUUUCUUCAUACGAGCAUUUGUUCAUAACUAGUCUAGCUUUAAGAAUAGAGAUUGUAUAAAUAACUGGAUAUUCUUGACUAAAGUCUAGAUUAUCAAUUGCAUCUAAAAAUUCGUCAACUGAUCUUUCCAUUUUUAUGAAUUUGAGUUACUAUUAUCACUUCUUAUCUUAUAAAAUUCUAGAAAAUAUUCAAGGCUCAACAUGCUUCUAUUUGUUCAAAAUACAAGAAGAUAAUUCAAAGUACUAGCUAGUCUAUUAUUCCACGGGAUUUGGGAUUCUGAAAUAAAUUUACUAGCUCUCUCUAGCCAUAGAUUGGUCCAUGAUUGGCACUGCAGUAGCUUUACAAUCUUGCAAGAUCACCUCAACAAAUGUUCCGGAUAGCCCCAUGCAACACACUGCAAAAUGAGCUAACAUGAUCUGUUUGAGCGAUUUUCCUGCAAUUGCCUCUGGGAGAGUGCUUCGUUGUAUGAAAUCUACUUCGUUUAGUACAAGUGUUGGCAUGUAAGCUUCUUAAUUUAUUUCUAAAAAUAUAACAUAUGUUAAAGAUGAUAAUUUCACUCAAAAAGAGUUUUAUUUAUUUUAUUUCUGAAUCUACACAAAAGAAAGAUGAGAGGAAUCAAGAUGAUUGUUGACAAUGAGGAUUUAUAAGCGGUAGCCCACUAUCCUUACAUGAUUCUAUUUAUAGAUUUAAAGAGAUAAGAUUAUCCCUUCUUACAUGACACUUAUUACAUUUGAGUGGUGGAUGAUAGAUUCUUUCGAGAUAAGGUGACACUCCUCCCUUUAUUCUUUAGGAUAGUUUCACUUUCCUUUUCCUCAUGGCCAAUAACCUGAUUGCUUUUAGAGAUAAGGCUUAUCCUUUCUAUUGGAUUCUUUCUCUAUGAAUUAAUGAUGUUUUUAGCUGGUAUCUUUUAUAUUUUUCAGUGGACCCUUGUCACAUGCCAAUUGUCAGUUUGUCAUCUAGUGACAUGUCUUUUUCACUGGAUCAUUUUUUAGAUUUUUUGUAGCAAAAGCCACAUUUUGAUUCAUGCUUAAGCAUCUUCUAUAUCUUAUGGUGUGUUGGCACACUAGAUUCUGCAAGAGUUUCAUACAUUGCCUUGUUUAGCAGAAAUAUUUUCUUUCUGCUUAUAAAAAAGACUAUAUAUUCUGACGUGACUUGGUGAAGGCAUACCUUUUCUUUACUUAUCCUCUCAAGUUGCUCAUAGAGGAUUUUCAUCUCAAUUGCCCAGUUGCUGGUAAGAAGUUUAAGCUUAAACAAUCCAAAAUCAUAAUCAUUAUAGACUUGAUUUAAAUCAAUGGUUGGAUUAAUCAUGUCGCUACUAAUUCCAACUUGUAUCAUGUGUUGUGCUAGGUACCAUUUAUUAUUAUAGUACUCAGGGCAAGUAGUGAGGAAUUUGACAAAAAAUGCUUGUUUUGCCUUUGUUAUCCUUUUGAGUGGUAGCUUCUUUGAUUUCUUUGGGAAGCAUCUCUAAUUCUUUGUAAUUAUUACUAACAUAAAUAAGGUUAAUGAAACUAUGUUCAAACAUGUCUUUUAUUAUUUCUGGAUCAGCUCCUGGAAUAAAGUUAAUUCUCGGGAACAACCUUGAAUGAUCUGGUAUUAUAUCCUCACUGGGAUGAAUCUCAUAAGCUAUCUUACAAAUUCUUUAAUAUUCACAAGCUCAGUCACUUUCUAAUGGGAAUUUAACCAUUAAACUGGGUUAUCUGCUUUUACUAUAUUUAGGUCUUAAGCUCACUGAAGAGCUUUGAGAACCUUCUCUCUUUAUGAUUGAUCUAUGAGAUUAUUAAUUGUGAGAAAUUUCUUUGAAUGUGUGAUUUUUGAGUUUUGUGAAGAACUCUGGAUAACUACCCUUCAAUUUGAUCCUUGAAAUGAACUUUUUUUAGCAUACAACUAAUGAAUUGUUGUGAAGUAUAGAACUUUCGGAUGAUUUUUCAAAUUUUUGUCCAGACAAAGUUUGCUCGAUUCCUCUUGGGCAUCAUCAAUCAUUGAAAGCCCAUCGUAUAUCAUUGAAUUACCUUUGAGAAGCAAUGCCUGUUCUUUAGAGCACAUUGUUAUGGUCUUUAUUAUUUUUGAAAGGCUCUUAUCUGUUGUAUUCUUUAGUUAGGAAAUCUGAAAUAAAAUUGUUAGAUUCUUUAAUAUAUUUUAUCUCAAAUCAUAUUUUCUAAAUAAUUGCUGCCAUCUAAUUAAUUUUUUAUACUGAGGUAAAUUAGGUAACUUAUUAAACAUAAAUCUUUUUAUUAUAACUUACCUGGAAAUAAGUAUAUUUUCUCAGAAAUAUGAGGUUGCAUCUUAAUUUUUGUUUCAUCUAUUAUUAAUCCUAGAAACUAUAUUCUAGGUUUUGUUAUUUCAGAUUUAUUUUGAGAAAGUGAUAUUCUAUGUUUCUUGCAUUUUUUGGCAAAAGAAACAAGAUGAUUAAUUUGAUUAAAUUCAUUUUUUGAAAAUAUUAAUAUAUAAUCUAAACAAUGCAGAAUUCAUGAAAUUAUUUAAAGAUUUUAUCCAUUUUUCUUUGAAAUAUCUAUGAUGAACUUUUUUAGGGAGCCUCUAAGUUACAAUAAUUGUAACAUACAUUCCUCAUAUGAACCACACAAAAUUGUAGGAUCCACAAUUUAUGUGGUUUACAUGAAGGAUGUAUGUUACAAUUAUUGUAACUUAGCAUUUGCCACUUUUUUAUCCAAAAGGCAUCACAAUCCAUCAUAUUGUCCUUGAGGUGUACUAAAGGUAGUAAGUGGUAUGCUUUCUUCUUCAAACUUGUUUGUCAAUAGCCAGAUUUGCAAUUAGACUUGUUAUAUAUUUUUUUACUAAUUACAAAAGUAAUUAAUGUAUCCUUAUGAGGUUAAAAGUACCCAUCAAAUUUGAUAUACGUAUUGAGUUCUUUAUAAUUAAUAAUCAUACGAGUUUUUCAUCAUUUAAUCUCUGUAUGAUUCCUAACCAUAAAGGUUGGGCUACUAUGUGGACUUUUAGAUUCUCAAAUAAUCUUAAGGUCUAAUAACUCUUUGAUUUAUUUAUUGAAUUCUAAUCUAUCUGUUUGCCCAUCUCUCAUAGGCUUGACUCUUAUAAUAACAUUUGCAUUUAUUAAUUCAAUCUUUGCAUAUGCUUUAUCAACGUCCAUAGUUGAUUUGGUCUUCCGUAAAGUUUUAUCAAGUUUAUCUAAGAUUUUUUACAUAAUCAAAUAUGAUUUGAUUGAUUUUUAUAUUGAAAUCCCCAUGCUAGUUGCUUUGAAAAUGGAAUUUUCGAGUUGUUCACAGUGCAAGUAUAUAAAUCCUAGGUGUAGUGAUGGAGUGAUUACAUGGUGUUUUAAGAAUAACUAUUUCGUUAGUCGUUAUAUAAAUGAACUGAAGAAGGAAAUUAACUCUUAAAAGUAUAUCUACACCCAUAUGAUUAUAAGACCAUAAUUUUGGAAUGCUUAAAACAUAAUCUUCUAUUUCUAUUAAGGUUUUAAUUCUACAUGUUCCUAAGGCAUUUCUCUCACCAUUUAUCCCUUAUCCUUUUAAGGGCUUGUAAUCUUUUCGAUAAUAUUUUGGAUAAGUCCUAAAGUUAGCUAAAUUAACUCCUGAACCUAUAUCAAUCAAAGCAUGCAACCAUUCAGGCUUAUGGUUAUAAUAUGUUAUAAUCUUUUUUACAUAUACCAUAAAGGGGUUACACAUAUCUUAAUAUGAUUUAUUUGAUUCCGUUAAUUGUUAUAUAGUAAGGAGAGAAAUUUUCAAGAAAGUUCAUCCCUAAUAGCAAAUGACUUAUUUCUGUUUCAUAAUCGAUUUCAAUGAAGGAAAGAUAAAUUCUAUCCCCUUAAUUCUUUUAGGAAUGUCACCACAUUGACUUAGCAUUUUUCUUUCUCCAUUAUAUCUUACGUAUAUAUAUGGUUCUUUAAGAAUUUUUCUUUCUAAUAUUUAAUCUUUUGGUAUCAACAUAAGAUUUUGUAGCUCAUGUAUCUAUGAUAGCAAAAGUCUCAUGCCAUGACUUCUUAUGCCAUGACCUUCAAUUAUUAUAAUUAAUCUUGAUCUUUAUAUUUUAAUUAUUUUUUCUAACUGUUGCCAAUAUUUCAUGUGAUGGGGGUAUCACAAGUUGGCAAUAUCUACUAAAACUUUGUAUUCUACUAAAUUCUUGUUCCGUUUUGGGUAUUGAGAAUGAUCUCCUACUCCAUGAAAUGAUUUUCCUAUCUGGAGUAUAUAUUGUAGACUUAGUAGUACUUCCUUUAAUCAAAGUAGUUGACUACUUAAAUUUAUCUCUCAUUCUUCUAUUAAAUCAAUUUCUCUUAAAAUCUCAGGAGAUUGUUGUUGGUUGGUUUCUUUCAAUUGCAAUGGGUGUCAAUGUGCAAGUGAACACAACAAGUAAUAUACUGAUGAAUAUUUAAAUCAACUCUAUAGGGAUUGAUGUUAUCAGAUUUGCUAUAGUAAACUUAGCAGUAUAAUGUUAUCUUAAAUUGAAGAAAAAAAUAAUUAAUGAAGCUAAUGAAUUAAUUAAAAUAAAAAUGCAAUAAGGAAAAUUCUCACGUCAAACAGAAGGAUGUAACCAAUGGGAAUAGAGUAAUUGAGUGAUUAAACUCACUUAAUGGUAUUAACUGUUUUUGUAUUUAAAACAUUGUUGCUACAACAUCUAUUAUAGCACUGGAUAGAAUUCUUCAUGCAUCCUCAUCUGUCCUUUGUUGGAUAUCUUAUACCUAAAUGCAACCUAACAGUGACCAAUAUAGAGCAACGCAUGUAUAGCAGUCAAACAUCCAUUAAGAUUGUUUAUCACUCAACCACAAUCAAAUUCAAUUCAUGACUUGCAAUAAAUCAGUAAAUAAAAUUAUUUUAUCCAUCAAAUACAUCCUCAUAAAUAAAUAGAAAACAAGAAAAUUAGAAGAAUUGAGUUCUGCUUGGUCUUUGUGAUUUGUUUACUUCAUGAGUUCUCUGUUGCAGCUUUCAAUCUCUCUCUUAAUUUCUGUUUUCUUAUUGUUUUCUUUUCAGUAUUCUCCUUGGGUGACGACUCCCCCUUUUUUCUUUUUAUGCAUGCUCUUUUUAUAACUUAAAAUUAGGGCAACCAAAAGUGUGUGGUGUGUAUCCUCCAUUUUUUUGAAACUUCAUAUUGUAAUCUUUUAGUUAUUGGGCGAAAAAUAUAGUCUAUCAUUGCUCCAAGAUUAUUAUAGCAUCUUCAUUGUUCCAGACUUGUUAUAACUCCUCUGUAGUCAAGUUCUUUCAUCAUCUUUACAAGUCUGUUGCAUCAGUAUUUCAUUCAUAAAACUUGAGCUUUUCGGUUGCCUACAAUAAUGCACAUAACUCAAAUUAUUAAAAAUAAAAACACAUCAUUUACUCUCUAAGUAAUAUUGUUUUAAGUCUAAGAGUGUUAUGAUAACUUCCAUUUCAUAUAAUUAUCACACCUCCAAACUUAACACAUUACUUGUCAUUAAGUAAUGACAACUACACUAACACUUCAAUCACACAACUAUACAAUAAACAACUUAGUUUUAUCACUAAGUUUCCUAGGAUUCAUCAACCUUCAUGUCUCACUCUUAGACAUGCAAAAUUGCCAUGACAGUUCCAAUUCUAGACUUAGGUCUUGCUCUGCCUAAAGUGUGUGUGUGACACUUUGAUCAAGUUCUAGAAAUACUGUAGCAUCACACAAACAUCACAUAUAACUCAAGAAUAAAACAUAAGUAUAUUCAUAAAUGGGGGAGCAGAAACCAAAAUAGGUUUAAACUGUACUACAAUUAUUAUUUUUUUGGUACUCUUCAAUGUAUCAUAAUUUUUCAUGUGAAUGUCUACACUUGUAAUGAUGACGCUCAAUUACUUAACUAAUGCACAGAUUAGAGUUGCUGCAGUAGUAACAUUUCAAAUGCUAUAACAUAGACUUAUCUAUAGAUACCUUUAACUCAAGACUGAAUAUGAGGCUCAUGAACAGACCUAACUAUUCAAUAUCCUAGACAGAGGACCUAUCUUGCUUUUUUUUUUUUUUUUUUUUUUUUUUACAAUUGCUAUAGCAAUGCUCAUAACUCUCGCUGCCUUUUUACUCAAGUCUGCAUAUGGGGUAUAUAUUCAACCCUAGUUUCUCAACAAUUAAGUUAUUGGAGCAAGAUUUAUUUCAUAUUAAGUAUUGUUUGUGAUAAAUCUAAAAAAAUUUACCUCCCCAAACUUGAGAUAUUUUUAACCUUUGCUCUACUAGUCUUGUUACAGCAUACUCACAAAACUUAACCAAAGCCUAAGUGUAAAGACAGGGUUUCAACUUUCAUCUAUAAACUAUCCCUACUUGGCAGUCAUUUAUUCCUAUAUUUCAACACUCAGUUCAUCUUAAUUGGGUUUUAUAAGCUACCAACAACAACUAGAUAAACAGAGCUACACACAAACACAUCCAUUCAUGAACACAUUACACCAUUGCACAACCCUUACCAAACUUGAAAGGUAAUGUGUCCUCACGAGCACACAAAAUAAAGCAAAGAAAAACAUGCAUACACUAACAAUAAAAAAAUUCAAAAUGAACAAUAUGAAAUAAAUAACUAAAAAAAAAAGAAAAAUUUCAUAAAUUUGGAAAUUAAUUUGGGUUGGCAGGUGAUAUUCCCCUCUUGUUGAAUGUUGUACUACAACUUGUGCAAAAAAGGUUCACUUCUUCUUAGUUGCACUUCUCAAUCAUUCUUUAGGUGAACCUAGUGAUGUAGCAGCUGGUUGUUUCUUUUUCUGGCUCUGAGUUGGACUGAUUGGUGGGGUUCUAAGAGGUUCAGUAGCUUUGGGUUGAAUUUGCUUUGUUCUCUUGUGUUCUGACUCUUCUGUUGUUGUAGCACCUUCAGAAGGCUGUGCCUCUUUGCAUUUGCUGGAGACCCUAGGAGCUGUGACGGGAGAUUUUUUUGGGGAUUGUUGUGUAGCAGCUUGAGUAGGUGUUUCUGCAGCUGGUUCUUCAGCAUUGAUACUGGCAAUGAGGUCUCGCAGGCUGCUUCUUCCUUCUUUUGUUCUAGCAACUCUGCUAAUAGCUUUCUCUAUAGCUACAUCCACAUCCUCUUCCCAUUCUGAUUCUGGCUCCUCCUUAACCAAAAUUUUUCUAUUUUCCUUUGCAUGUAUGAGUCGCCUUUGGAGGUUCUGCCUCCCUUUCCUCCUCUUAUGUUUGCUCUUCCUUUUUGUUUUUUUCUUUCGCUACGUUCUCUUCUUCUUGUUCUCCAUCUUAAGACUCAUCUGUUGCUUCAACAUCUUCUGCUUUCUUUUGCUCUUGUUGUUAUUCUUCUUUGGACUCUCCUUCAACCUCCUCUGCUACUUCAACAUCUUCACUUUCUUCUGUUGGAGCAGCUUCUUCAGCUUCUUCAAAAUUAAACUACUGCAACAACAAUUCUGUAAAUUCUGUAUUUUUACUCUUCAUGUACAGAGCAAAUUGGUGCUUUUGUGCUUCAAGAUGUUGUAAAUAGGUCCAAAAUCUCUUAUUUUCUUCUAUUUGUGCUUGGACAUAUGCUUUCACUGCUUCACUAAGUUAUUGAAGCAUUUUCUACCCUUGCUGUAGUAUGGUGUUUUGGGGUCGCUGCAGCUAUAGGUUCUUCAGCAAUUCUUUUAACUUUCCUCAUGGUAGUGACCUUUUCAUUAUUUAUUCUCUCAUCACUAUCCUCAAAUUGCACUCUCGAGACUUUACAUAUUCCCAUGAUGAGAGAAUGGAAUAGUAAUGCAGCAGAUUUUUGCUUCUUCAUUGCACAGUCUCUAAUUUCCCUCUCAAUGAUCUUUGCCUAUAUCUACAACUAAGCCCUUGACUAUAGUAUAGAGGAGGAUGAGUAUGUCUUGAGAAAUUAUAGUAGUGUGGGUAGUUGGCAUUAAUCGAGAUUUCAAAAACUUUACCCAAACCUUGGCAAUAGGUUUUAAAUUAUUCUACUAACCACUCGCCCUUCUUUACUCAUCCACUCACUACUCGGGACAAUUAAGGUUUUGAAAACUUCCCCCUAUUUCUUCAUUGUCAUGUUCUCAGCAAAUUGUGUAUAUUCACAAUCUACAACAGUAGGUAAAUCAUAGAAUGCAUUAAAAACUCUAGAGUCUAAAGGGACUUGUAAUUGCCUUAAAAAGAUAUUCCGUUGAUCCUGCUGUAGCAAGUUGGAGUAGAAUUUCUUUACAAUCGGGAUGAUUGGAUCUUGGAGGUGAGAGCGAAAUUUUACCGAUCUUUUUCUUACUACAACGUUAUAGAUGUUCAUUAUUCAUAUUGGUUGCUUUGGGAAUAUAAAGUCCUUUUCCUCUAAAAGUUUUCAUGGCUCUAUAAAUUCCUCAAAUUUGUCUUUUGUUCUGUAGUUAUGGAAGCAUGAAGGGUCUUUCAAUCUAGCAGCUUGUGUCUUAAAUUUCGGCAUUGUUAUAGCAGUUUGAAUAGAAUUGUGUUGUGUUGAAAAGAAAAGAGAAUGUAAAAAGACUUGUAAAUAUUAUUGAGAAUUAUUUAUGGGGAUAGAAAGAGUUGCGGUGGAAUUGAAAAAGGUUUCAGUGAAUCCCUAAUUUAUAGCAAUUAGGAAAGUAGAAUUAAGAAAGUAAUUAAGAGGAUAACUUGGAAAGGAUUUUUUGAAAUUUAAAAACAAAUUUAAAUAAAACAAGGAAGAGAUAUAUAUGUCACAGUAAUUUAGGGAUUGCAUAAUCUCCCCUUAUCUUCAAUUCUAAUUUGCUGACGCUAGCCUGUCAGUCUUCUAACAGUAAAAAUCCAAGGACUACCAGUGCAACGGUAAAAAUUCCUACUGCAGCAAUUAAUCCGUUGUUGUAGCAACAAUGACAAACUCCCCUAUUAGUUGAGAACCAUCUUUCAACUGCCAUGUUGACUAUAAUGCAACUCGCUGUAAUGAAAAAACAAAACAGAAAAGAAUCCAAUGCUCAAAUUAGAAUGAAAUAGAAGUAAAUUAAAAGUCUUCAAAUCUUGACUUAACUUUUAAAGAAAAAUUAAAACAAUUUCCCUCAUUGGGUUUCCUCCCAAUUAGUACUUCAUUUUAGGUUCUUCAGCCCGACCGUGCUUGAUUGCUCAUGUUGGAUCCCUUAGGAAAAGGUCCUCCCUUGGGGAUUUACAGCAGCUCCCAUGUAAUGUUUCACCCUAUGCCCAUUCACCUUGAAUUCUUGACCUGUUCUUUCAUCUUGAAGUUCAACAACCCCAUGAGGACAAACUUUGAUAAGUUUAAAAGUCCUGACUAUCGAGAUUUCAUUUUUCUAGGGAAGACCUUUAAUUUCGAGUUAUAGAGCAAGACUUGACUGCGUGGAAUGAAUUCGCUUUGUUGGAUUCUUUGUCAUGUCAUUGUUUGGUCUUCUCCUUAUAAAUUCUUGCAAUUUCAUAGAAAAAUAAUUGUAACUCCUCUAGCUCAAAAAGUUGUAAUUUUCUUUCUUCUGGUGCAGCAGUCAUACCCAUAGUCAGCUGCUUGACUGCUCAACAUGCUUUGUGCAUCAGCUGUAAUACAAAUGACAGACUUUUCCAUAAACAAUUAUGUAUGGGGACAUGCCAAGUGGAGUUUUAUAGGCUGUUCGAUAAGCCAAUAAAGAGUCAUUUAAUCUAACUGACCAAUCCUUUCUAUUGGGACUCAUAACUUUCUGCAAAAUAUUCUUUAUCUUUCUAUUAGAUACCUCUGUUUGUCCAUUUGUUUGUGGAUGAUAUGUUGUAGCAACCUUAUACUUCAUUCCACAUUUAGUCAAUGUUGCAGCAAAUGUUCUGUUGCAAAAAUGUGUUCCUUUAUCAGUAAUAAUAGCUCUUGGAGUAUCAAAUCUUGAGAAGAUGUUUUUUUAAAGGAAAUUCACUACUGCCUUGGCAUCAUUAAUUGGUAAUACUACAACUUCCACCCAUUUGGAGACAUAGUCCACAACUAUUAGGAUGCAUAAAUUGUCGAAAGAGGGUAGGAACUGUCCCAUAAAAUUUAUCCCAUAUACAUCAAAGAGUUUCACUUCCAAAAUAUUAAUCAGUGACAUCUCAUGUUUUUAAGAGAUGUUCCUUGCUCUUUGACACAUGUCAUAAUAUUUAACAAUCUCUUAAACAUCCUUAAAAAUAGAGGGCCAUUAGUAACUUGAUUGAAGGACUUUUGAUGCUGUCUUGUGCCCUUCAAAGUGUCCUCUAUAUGCUACAGUAGGAUAGAACUGCAGGAUGUUUGAAAUUUCUUCAUCUGGCACACAUCAUUUAAUCAUUUGAUCUGAACACAUCUUGUACAAGUAGGGCUCAUCUCACCAAUAACGUUUUACAUUAUGAAGAAAUCUUUUUUUUUUUGCAGGUAGCUCAAACGGGUGGUAAUAAUCCACUCACCAAAUAAUUAGCAAAAUCUGCAUACCAUGGAAAUCCUGAUUGUUGCAGCCUCUGAGUGUAUAGUACCAUUAACAAUUACUCAUCAAGGAAUGUUUUUGUGAUAUCCUGCUUGGUCAGAGUGCUUUCAUUUACUUCCAGCAUUAAAAGAUGAUCUGAUACUUGAUUCUCAGUGCCUUUUUUAUCAUUGAUCUCCAAAUCAAACUCUUGUAGCAACAUAAUCUACCUAAUCAACCUUGUUUUGGCAUCUUUCUUUGAAAUCAAAUACUUUAUAGGCGAGUGAUCUAUAUAAACAAUCACUUUGGUGCCAACCAAAUAGGUUCUGAAUUUAUCAAAUGUAAAAACAAUAGCCAGUAGCUCUUUUUCAAUGGUCGUAUAAUUUAGUUGUGCAUUAGUUAAAGUCUUGCUGGCAUAAUAAAUGGAGUGAAAAAUCUUGCCUUUCUUUUGCCCUAACACUGCUUCAACAGAAUAGUCUAACAUCACACAUCAAUUCGAAAGGCAUAUUUAAUAAAGUAUUAUAACAAUGGGUGUUGUAACAAGAGUUUUCUUCAACUCAACAAAGGCCUUUAAAUAAUUCUCAUCAAAAUUGAAGGGUCUAUCAUGUUUCAGCAAUAUGCAUAAAGGUUUGGCUAUUUUGGAAAAGUCUUUAAUGAACCUUCUAUAGAACCCAGCAUGUCCUAAGAAACUCGUAAUGCCUUUUAUUGAAUUAGGUGGUGGAAGUUUAUCAAUCACUUCUAUUUUUUCCCUAUCCACCUCUAUUCUCUUUCUAAAAACUCUAUGGUCUAAGAUUAUCCCUUCUUGUACUAUAAAAUGACAUUUUUUUCCAAUUCAACACUAAGUUGGUCUCUUCAUAUCCUUUUAGUACAUUUUUUAGAUUAUGCAAAUAGUCAUCGUAUGAUUUCCCAAAAACUAAAAAAAUCAUCUAUGAAUACCUCAAGUGUUUGCUCAACCAUAUCUGAAAAAAUAGACAUCAUACACUUCUAGAAAGUUGUUGGAGCAUUGCAUAGACCAAAUGAUAUCGUGCUGAAGGCAAAGGUUCCAUAAGGACAAGUGAAUGUUGUAUUCUCUUGAUUUUUAUGUGGUUCGGCUAACCGCGCCUACGUCAACGCCUCCAAGCUCACCGGGCUUGAGGAUUCCACUAAGCAAGCCUCUAAAUCAAGUGUUUGACCUUUCUUCCUUUACUCUUUUAUCUUUGAGUAUUGUUAAAUUUAUUGUUUUUAAAUACAUACCAUACAUCUUUGUUGUGAUCAACAAAUGCAAUACUAUUUAACUAUUUUUGAAAUGUUUUGGCCACUAAACAAAUUUAGUGCAAAACUGUUUUUGAAAUGCUUUGGCCACUUACUGAGGGGGAGCACACAUUAAGGGGGAACAAUCUUGUCUAGUCUUGAAAUGUUUGUCAUCAUAAAAAAAAGAGGAGAUUGUCAACUCUUUUAUUUUUAUAAUAAUGAUUUUAAUAAUAACAAACAUGUUUUCAAUUGAUUAGAAGUCAAUUGUAAGAGUGAUUAAAGCCUUGGAGGCUUGCUUAGUGGAAUCUUCAAGCCCGGUGAGCUUGGAGGCGUGGACGUAGGCACGGUUAGCUGAACCACGUAAAAAUCAAGUGUUUGAUCUCUCUUCCUUUACUCUUUUAUCUUUGAGUAUUGUUAAAUUUAUUAUUUUUGUUUUCAUUAAGGCAUUAGAUUAAAAUUGUUGUGUGGUUUGAUUAGGUUAAAUUUUAGAAACCCAAUUCACCCCGUUUUUGGGUUGCUUAGUUAAUAUUUCAUCAGUCUUCUCUGUUGCUCCACAAAAUUGCUAUAGCAAUCCUCCAGCAAAAUCUUAUGCAUGCAUAUAGAUGGGUUGAUUCCCUUGAUAUCUGUCAUGGUCCAUUCAAUAGCCUUCUUGUAUCUCCCCAACACAUCUACCAAGCUCUUAUCUUGAUUUGCAUUCAAAGAAGAUGAAAUGAUUACAAGAAGUAUGUUAUUGUCACCAAGAUAAACAUACUUCAAAUGUAAAGGUAAAUAUUUAAUUCUAAUAUAUGAGGGGACUCAAUGAAAGGAACAUAAGAUUUUACUUUAUUGUUUGAGAGGUCUAAAGAUUCAAAGCGUCUGUCAGUUCUCACGAGUUACUUCUCUUCUAGCCAUGCUAUGUCUGUUGCUUCGAGUUCUUCCUUUUUCUGUUAUUUGAAUGUUACAGAUUUGACUUCUUCAUUGCUGCAGCAACUGUUUAGUCUAUCUGUAACAGCAAAAUUCACAACACUAAUAAAAUUACAAUCUUUAACAUCAUUUGGAUUCUUCAUGGCAUCUAACACAUUGAAUGUAACUUGUUGAUUAUUAUCCCGCAUAGUUAAUUCUCCUUUUUGCACAUCAAUUAAAGUCUUUCCAGUGGCUAAAAAAAGUCUUCCUAAAAUGAUGGGUGCUUUUUUAUCUCCCUUGAAGUCUAGGACUAUGAAAUCCACUUGAAAAGUAAAUUUAUCCACCUUUAUUAAUAUAUAUUCAAUCUUCACUUUUGAAUAGGCGUGUGAUCUGUCAGCAAGUUGUAAAGUCGCUGUUGUUGGCCUAACUUCUCCAACUCCCAAUUGCUUGAACAUUAACAAAGGCAUGAUAUUGUUGCUAGCCUCUACAUCACAAAGUGCCUUACCAUUGUAUUUAAUUCCUAUGGAACAUGGGAUUGUGAAGCUUCCUAAAUCUUUCAACUUCUGAGGGAUUUUGUUAUGAAGCAUAUGGCUGCAUUCUUGUGUCAGAGCAAUUGUUCCAAACUCUCCAAGCCUCAUUUUCCUUGCCAAAAUAUCUUUCAAGAAUUUCACACAGUUUGGCAUUUGUUCAAGAGCUUCCACAAAAGGAAUGUUGAUAUGUAGAUGCUCCAAUACUUCCAAGAACUUGUUGAUUGCUUGUCUUACUUUUGCUUUUGGAAUCUUUGUGGAAAGGGUGGUAGGUGUUUGAAUUGUUAUAUUGCAGCAGGCUGUGCAGACUGCUUCUCUUUUGCCAUGUUUCGAAUUGAUAUAGUUGGUACUAUAGCAUCUUCUUCCACAAUUGCUGGAUCAUUAGUUUUUGCAGAUUCUGUAACUUGGUUGUCCUCAUUAGUGUGGUGAAAAGUGGGGUGUUGUUGUUUCUCUUCAACUUGAGUCUCUUCUUGGGUUAAAAUGGGUUCAACUCUUUUUUUU
rnacentral:lncRNA from 1 species